AAUCCCGAAGCUCAACUUUGGUUCUGCAUGGGACGUCAGAUAGAGUGGGUAGAGAGAUUGGAAUUCUUGGGGAGCGGUGGAAUGCGCAGAUAUCAGGAGGAACACGAUGGCGAAGGCAGAUCUUUGGGCCAUUACUGACGCUGAGGAGCGAAAGCAUGGGGAGCGAACAGGAUUAGAUACCCUGGGUAGUCCAUGCCGUAAACGUUGGGCGCUAGAUGUGGGGACCAUUCCACGGUUUCCGUGUCGUAGCUAACGCAUUAAGCGCCCCCGCCUGGGGAGUACGGCCGCAAGGCUAAAACUCAAAGGAAUUGACGGGGGCCCGCACAAGCGGCGGAGCAUGCGGAUUAAUUCGAUGCAACGCGAAGAACCUUACCAAGGCUUGACAUAUACCGGAAACGUUCAGAAAUGUUCGCCCCGCAAGGUCGGUAUACAGGUGGUGCAUGGUUGUCGUCAGCUCGUGUCGUGAGAUGUUGGGUUAAGUCCCGCAACGAGCGCAACCCUCGUCGUAUGUUGCCAGCACGUAAUGGUGGGAACUCAUAUGAGACUGCCGGGGUCAACUCGGAGGAAGGUGGGGAUGACGUCAAAUCAUCAUGCCCCUUAUGUCUUGGGCUUCACGCAUGCUACAAUGGCUGGUACAAUGGGCUGCAAUACCGCGAGGUGGAGCGAAUCCCAAAAAGCCAGUCUCAGUUCGGAUUGGGGUCUGCAACUCGACCCCAUGAAGUCGGAGUCGCUAGUAAUCGCAGAUCAGCAACGCUGCGGUGAAUACGUUCCCGGGCCUUGUACACACCGCCCGUCAAGUCAUGAAAGUCGGUAACACCCGAAGCCGGUGGCCUAACCCUUGGGAGGGAGCCUCG
rnacentral:rRNA from 1 species